rnacentral:lncRNA from 1 species
AGUUGUGUAAGAUUGUGAGCAUGGAUGUGAGGCAGAGCUCGCCUUCCUGUCCUUUCGCCUACUUCCUGCAGGCAAGCCAGGGGGUUGGGACUUGGCGUUUCCCUGCAGCAGUGGUCCAGAGCCCCUUCUCUAGCUUUGAGUGGGUGACUGGCAGCUGCAGGAGCAGUGGCUUCCUGCUUCCCAGUCUGCAGCUUUGGUGGUGUAUUCUCAAACUCAGAGCUCCUCCAGCUCCUCCAGCCCUCCCAAUGAAUGUGCACCAGCGAUGUCAGAAGCAUCUAAUGGGACAGCUCCAUUUUCAGAAACGACACCCAGGAGCAACGAUGGAGGAGCAAUGAUUUGGAAGGAAGCUAAGACCCUGAGUGACCAUGAGGAGCAGAGAUGCACCACUGACCUACAUCUUUCACACUGUUAGAGGAGAGAGAAAUAGACCGUUUUGUUCAUUAGGCCAUUGCAUCAUUGGGUGAUGGCAAGGUAUUGGCACUAAGACACUAUUAGGUGUAACGCCUUAGCUCAAAUUAGCUCACAUGAUUGCCCUCCCUCAGAACAGAUGGCUCAGUGUAGGAAUUUAACUGACAAGAGGCCAGGAAGUUAUAGUUGGAGUUGACGGAGGGGAGUAUGAAGGAAUAAAGUCUGGAGUUCUCACACUGGGUUCCAAUGCACACCAGCUUAUCCUCUCAAGGGUUUGGCAAUAAAAUAGAAUAACGCCAAUAAUGUCCUUGGAAAAAUAAAGUUCUCAAGGAAAGUUAAGUAAAUGGGUAAACUAUCUCCAUUUUAAGCUUCGUUCCCAUAUAUUUGGCUCUUGUUGCUUUCUAUCUGCCUCCCAGCAGAAAAUACCAAACGAACUUGGAGCAAACAAAAUUAUUUUCCUUCUUAAAAAAAAUUUUUUUUAAUUCUAGAAGUGACCUAUGCUUAUUGCGAAAAAAUGCAAGCAAUAUAAAAGAUGGGAUGCAUGGAUCAUAUCUCCCCACUCCCAGGCCCACUGCUCAGGGGAACCCCAGUUAAGCAUUUGGUGUGUUCUUUUCUCUUCCCCUUGCCCUUCCCUUGGAAGCAGUGCUGUGGUGGGAGCUGAGCAGGGGAUGGGUCUGAGGAG